rnacentral:rRNA from 1 species
CCCUUAGAUGUUCUGGGCCACACGCGCGCUACACUGACGAAUGCAACGAGCUUAUAACCUUGGCCGAAAGGUCUGGGUAAUCUCCAAAUUUCGUCGUGAUGGGGAUAGAUUAUUGCAAUUAUUAAUCUUCAACGAGGAAUGCCUAGUAAGCGCAAGUCAUCAGCUUGCGUUGAUUACGUCCCUGCCCUUUGUACACACCGCCCGUCGCUCCUACCGAUUGAAUGGUCCGGUGAAGCGCUCGGACCGCGGCCUCUUGACGGUUUUCCGUCGAUUGGCUGUGGGAAGUUCGUUAAACCUUAUCAUUUAGAGGAAGGAGAAGUCGUAACA